rnacentral:lncRNA from 1 species
AAUAUUUUCACAACAUAUUAAACUUCAAUCUUGCCCAGAAAACUGAUCACUCAUGAACCAACAUAUGAUAAAAAGUACAAAUACUAUCUCCUACUAUCACAAUCUCUCUAUAAAUAAAAAUUAAUAUUGUAGUAUACAAUUGAUUGACUAGGAAAAAUUAAAAGGAAAAAGAAAAAAUAAAUCAUCAAAAAAACUACAAAAAAUAAAUACAUUCAACUAUUUAAGGUCAACUCCCAAGAUCUGUACAGCCAAUAAGAAUCUAGUUAGUUCUCCUUCUCUAUACAGGCCUUGCAAAUAUUAUGUUAGAUUCAUGACCCCUGCGCAAACCUACAGAUCAGAAAUUUAUAAAUAUAUACAUAUAGAUUACAUAUAUACACAUGUAUAUAUUUAGAUAUAUAGAUGUAUAGAAAAAACCGAAAAGUGAAUGCCUGGACAGAUGUAUUUGACUUUCCUCAAGGACCAUAAAUGGAAAAAAAGGAAACUAUUUUAGAUUGUGGAAGAACAGAAACUAAAUUAGGAUGCCAUAUACGUAGACAGAGAAUCUAACAUUUUAUCUCCUUGUGAAGAGUUAAUAAAACACAUACAUAUUUGCACGUGUAUAUAUAUAUAUAUGUAUAUAUAUAUAUAUAUAUAUAUAUAUAUAACACAUACAUAUACAUGUAUAUAUAUAUAUGUACAUAUACAUACAUCUCCUUGUGAAGAGUUGAUAAAACACAUACAUAUUUGCACGUGUAUAUAUAUAUAUAUAUACAUAUAUGUAUAUAUAUAUAUAUAUAUAUAUAUAUAUAUAUAUAUGUAUACAUAUAACACAUACAUAUACAUGUACAUAAGCACGAUAUGAUUAAUAUAUAAAAGGAGAUUAGAAUAGAGUAAAGUGUAGAGCUCCCUUCAAUCCAAACAAGGAUCUGAAGCUGGGUAAUGCAGCUCCUGAUAUAUGCAAGCCACAAGCUUAUCCUCCAUAUAGAUAAAGGAAUGGGAUAGGGCUUGAGGGAUCCAUAGAUCAGCAGCUCUAUUUUCCCACAAAGUUCCUCUAUUGGACUUUAAGGAGCUCCACUCAAAACUCUUUAACAUAAAAAUUAGAAGAAAUAAAUAGUUAAGAAAAUUAUCAAGAAUUAACUUUUUCUAGUAAAAUUCAUAAAACCCAAAAACCAAAAAUCUAGAUGUAUAAAAUCUGAAACUAAAAAUCUUACCUUUACAAGAUCCCAAUACGAAAUGAUUAAAAGGUAAUCAUCAAGAAACAAACUAUGUCCUAAAAUCAAUGGAACCCAUAAAAACCCACAACUAUGAAAUAAAAAAAUCAAGAAAAUAUUCUAGAGACGGCAGAUCUAUGAAUAUCUAACCACACCCUUGUACAAAUAUAGGGUUGUUAAGAAAACCCAUGAAUCUUUUCAUCAAAACUAGGAGCAUGAGAGAUCUAAAAAGAAAAUCAAACCAUUUCUUGACCUAAGAUCUAGUUU